rnacentral:rRNA from 1 species
CCUACGGGUGGCAGCAGUGGGGAAUAUUGGACAAUGGGCGAAAGCCUGAUCCAGCCAUGCCGCGUGUGUGAAGAAGGCCUUCGGGUUGUAAAGCACUUUCAGUGGGGAAGAAAGCCUUGGGGCUAAUACCCUCGAGGAAGGACAUCACCCACAGAAGAAGCACCGGCUAACUCCGUGCCAGCAGCCGCGGUAAUACGGAGGGUGCGAGCGUUAAUCGGAAUUACUGGGCGUAAAGCGCGCGUAGGCGGUCUGAUAAGCCGGUUGUGAAAGCCCCGGGCUCAACCUGGGAACGGCAUCCGGAACUGUCAGGCUAGAGUGCAGGAGAGGAAGGUAGAAUUCCCGGUGUAGCGGUGAAAUGCGUAGAGAUCGAGAGGAAUACCAGUGGCGAAGGCGGCCUUCUGGACUGACACUGACGCUGAGGUGCGAAAGCGUGGGUAGCAAACAGGAUUAGAUACCCUAGUAGUC